rnacentral:rRNA from 1 species
AUUGAACGCUGGCGGCAGGCCUAACACAUGCAAGUCGAACGAGUGGCGGACGGGUGAGUAAUGUCUGGGAAACUGCCUGAUGGAGGGGGAUAACUACUGGAAACGGUAGCUAAUACCGCAUACCAUCGGAUGUGCCCAGAUGGGAUUAGCUAGUAGGUGGGGUAAAGGCUCACCUAGGCGACUAUCCCUAGCUGGUUGGAGAGGAUGACCAGCGAAACGGGAACUGGAACACGGUCCAGACUCCUAUGGGAGGCAGCAGUGGGGAAUAUUGCACAAUGGGCGCAAGCCUGAUGCCGCACUGCCGCGUGUAGGAAGAAGGCCUUCGGGUUGUAAAGUACUUUCAUCGGGGAGGCGUUACCCGCAGAAGAAGCACCGGCUAACUCCGUGCCAGCAGCCGCGGUAAUUC